rnacentral:lncRNA from 1 species
UCACAGCGAGUGUGGCGUGGGAGAAAAUCAGAGGGGUAGAAUAAGGCAUGUAGAAUCUGGACUCCGAUUUCUGUCAGAAUUCACACUCCUGGCGGACAUACUCCCUGUGGUUUGUGUGGUGUUGAACAAGUCGUGGACCUCUCCCAGCCUCAGCUUCCAGAUCUGUAAAGUCAGACAAGAAUUGGACCCACCUCACAGGCUUGUUGGAGGAUCGCCCAGCUCUACGUCUUCUGAAGCACUCUGUGAACUCCCAAGCGCCUCGCAAACGAUUUAUGAAAUAUCUCAACUAGAUGUGGCAAUGAGAAUGUGCUCAACUGUCUUCAGCAGUGGAAAAGAAAAUGAUAUACUCCAAGACUCUGACUCUGUUACCAGUGCAAGUUAUGAAAAUGUCUCACCUCCCGUCAGCACCCAGACUGCAUCCACCGUCAUGUCUCUACUUCAUCUUGGCAGAACUGUAAGGUUUCCUAGGGAGGACUGGGACACAUGGCCACGUCUAGGCCAAUCACUGGCAAGAGGACCGAAAUCACCAAUCGUGACUCCUCUCCUGCGAUCUGGGGCGGGUCCAGCCUCCUCUGAUAGAUGAUCUAAAGGAGAACGAAGGGCUGGUUUUUACCAUCUGGAUCCUAGUGUAUAUUUGUGAUCAUCCUAUAAUAAGCUUGUAAUUGUGUUAUAAUAAGUCUGCAUUUCGGACUCUUUCACAUGCUUGAGCCGUGACUACAGCAUUACUCAAGGCACAUUGCCAACACUGAGUCCAAAUGACCUUGCCCCUUUUAUAGCUGCUAGAGGAAGGAGGCAGUCUCCUGCUCACAGCCUACUACUCUGUCCCUCAAGCAUCUUCCAACUUGCACCCUUGAGCAAGAAAGUGCAAACGUUGUGAUUCAAACUGUAGCAG